UGGCUCAGUGGUAGAGUGCUUGCCUCACAUGCAUGAGGCCCUGAGUUUGAUUCCUCAG
rfam:Dipodomys ordii contig_25174, whole genome shotgun sequence.